rnacentral:sRNA from 1 species
UAUCUUCGGCCGUGACCGCCCUGCGCAU